UGGGGAAUAUUGGACAAUGGGCGAAAGCCUGAUCCAGCCAUGCCGCGUGUGUGAAGAAGGUCUUCGGAUUGUAAAGCACUUUAAGUUGGGAGGAAGGGCAGUAAGCGAAUAUCUUGCUGUUUUGACGUUACCGACAGAAUAAGCACCGGCUAACUCUGUGCCAGCAGCCGCGGUAAUACAGAGGGUGCAAGCGUUAAUCGGAAUUACUGGGCGUAAAGCGCGCGUAGGUGGUUCGUUAAGUUGAAUGUGAAAGCCCCGGGCUCAACCUGGGAACUGCAUCCAAGACUGGCGAGCUAGAGUAGGACAGAAGGUGGUGGAAUUUCCUGUGUAGCGGUGAAAUGCGUAGAUAUAGGAAGGAACACCAGUAGCGAAGGCGACCACCUGGGCUCAUACUGACACUGAGGUGCGAAAGCGUGGGGAGCAAACAGG
rnacentral:rRNA from 1 species